UACGUAGGGGGCGAGCGUUGUCCGGAUUCAUUGGGCGUAAAGAGCUCGUAGGCGGCUUGGCAAGUCGGGUGUGAAAACUUCAGGCUCAACCUGGAGAUGCCACUCGAUACUGCUAUGGCUAGAGUCCGGUAGGGGACCACGGAAUUCCUGGUGUAGCGGUGAAAUGCGUAGAUAUCAGGAGGAACACCUGUGGUGUAGACAGCUUACUGGACCACGACUGACGCUGAGACACGAAAGCGUGGGUAGCAAACAGG
rnacentral:rRNA from 1 species